GACGAACGCUGGCGGCGUGCUUAACACAUGCAAGUCGAACGGUAAGGCCCUUCGGGGUACACGAGUGGCGAUCGGGUGAGUAACACGUGGGUGAUCUGCCCUGCACUUCGGGAUAAGCCUGGGAAACUGGGUCUAAUACCGGAUAGGACUCCUGGCUUCAUGGUUGGGGGUGGAAAGCUUUUGCGUUGUGGGAUGGGCCCGCGGCCUAUCAGCUUGUUGGUGGGGUAAUGGCCUACCAAGGCGACGACGGGUAGCCGGCCUGUGAGGGUGACCGGUAACACUGGGACUGAGAUGCGGCCCAGAGUCCUACGGGAGGCAGCAGUGGGGAAUAUUGCACAAUGGGCGGAAGCCUGAUGCAGCGACGCCGCGUGGGGGAUGACGGCCUUCGGGUUGUAAACCGCUUUCAGCUAUGGCGAAGCGCAAGUGACGGUAGUAGCAGAAGAAGGACCGGCCAACUACGUGCCAGCAGCGGCCGUAAAAC
rnacentral:rRNA from 1 species